rnacentral:rRNA from 1 species
GAACCUGCGGAAGGAUCAUUACUGAGAGGGGUUUUCGGACCCCGGGGGCCCCGGCCCCCAUCUCUUCACCCUAUGUUUACGUACCUUCGUUGCUUUGGCGGGUCUUAGGGCUCGCCCCAUACCGGCUACGAGCCUAGUGCUCCGGUCGGCCCGUGCUCGCCAGAGGCCCAUCAAAUUCUGUUCACCAGUGACGUCCGAGCAAAAACACAAUAGUAAAAAACUUUCAACAACGGAUCUCUUGGUUCUGGCAUCGAUGAAGAACGCAGCGAAAUGCGAUAAGUAAUGUGAAUUGCAGAAUUCAGUGAAUCAUCGAAUCUUUGAACGCACAUUGCGCCCCUCGGUAUUCCGGGGGGCAUGCCUGUUCGAGCGUCAUUGCACCCCUCAAGCUCAGCUUGGUAUUGGGUCUUCGCCCCCACGGCGGGCCCGAAAGUCAGUGGCGGUCCGGCGUAACUUCGAGCGUAGUAAAUCUUCUCCCGCUUUGGAAGCUCGCGCUGCGGCCGGCCAUCAACGCCCAAAUCUUUCAAUGAUUGACCUCGGAUCAGGUAGGGAUACCCGCUGAACUUAA